UCGUAACAAGGUCUCCGUUGGUGAACCAGCGGAGGGAUCAUUACAGAGUUUACAACUCCCAAACCCCAAUGUGAACAUACCUCUUGUUGCUUCGGCGGACCCGCCCCGGCGUCCGGAAGGCCCCACACGGCCCUCCGCGGCCCGGACCCAGGCGGCCGCCGGAGACCAAACCAAAACUAUUGUAUUAUCAGUUUCUUCUGAAUCCGCCGCAAGGCAAAACAAAUGAAUCAAAACUUUCAACAACGGAUCUCUUGGUUCUGGCAUCGAUGAAGAACGCAGCGAAAUGCGAUAAGUAAUGUGAAUUGCAGAAUUCAGUGAAUCAUCGAAUCUUUGAACGCACAUUGCGCCCGCCAGCAUUCUGGCGGGCAUGCCUGUUCGAGCGUCAUUUCAACCCUCGAGCUCCCUUUGGGGAGCCCGGCGUUGGGGACCGGCAGCUUUACCGCCGGCCCCGAAAUGGAGUGGCGGCCCGUCCGCGGCGACCUCUGCGUAGUAACUUACACCUCGCACCGGAACCCCGACGUGGCCACGCCGUAAAACACCCAACUUUUGAACGUUGACCUCGGAUCAGGUAGGAAUACCCGCUGAACCUAAGCAUAUCA
rnacentral:misc_RNA from 1 species